rnacentral:rRNA from 1 species
UACGAAGGGGGCUCGCGUUGUUCGGAAUUACUGGGCGUAAAGCGCACGUAGGCGGCUAUUUAAGUCAGGGGUGAAAUCCCAGAGCUCAACUCUGGAACUGCCUUUGAUACUGGGUAUCUGGAGUAUGGAAGAGGUGAGUGGAAUUCCGAGUGUAGAGGUGAAAUUCGUAGAUAUUCGGAGGAACACCAGUGGCGAAGGCGGCUCACUGGCCCAUUACUGACGCUGAGGUGCGAAAGCGUGGGGAGCAAACAGG